rnacentral:rRNA from 1 species
UACGUAGGGACCGAGCGUUGUCCGGAAUCAUUGGGCGUAAAGAGCGUGUAGGCGGCCACUUAAGUCCUGCGUGAAAUCUUGCGGCUCAACCGCAAGCGGUCGUGGGAAACUGGGUGGCUAGAGUGCGGGAGAGGAGAGUGGAAUUCCUGGUGUAGCGGUGGAAUGCGCAGAUAUCAGGAAGAACACCCGUGGCGAAGGCGGCUCUCUGGAACGCAACUGACGCUGAGACGCGAAAAGCGUGGGGGAGCGAACAGG